ensembl:lncRNA
AGUACACGUUUUGCCUCCCUCAUUUCUCCAAGCCAGUCGCUCUGCACUGCGGCAGGCAUGGGAAGCAGACACACACUCACACACACACUCUUCUCUACUCCACUCCCAUAUUUUUUGGAAGGGAACAGACGAGGAGCGAGAAAAAUCAAGAGAGCACGGCAUUUUUCGUAUUUUCAUAACGGAGCUGCUUUAAAAUCCAGUAGAAACGUUUUUCUGUCUUGUGACAAAACUUGUUUCAAAGAGAUUUGGAGUAUCGGCACUACAAACGGAAUAUGCACAACUCGACCUACCAGCCCCCCCAAAACAAGGAAAUUUGGACCUAUGUGAAGGACUUUUGAAAGCGUGCGUAAAUGCAAUGUUUGAAGAGGCUUUUUUGGGAUGUUGUUAAGAAGGUUUCUCCAUGCUCUUCCUUUCUCUGGCCUCUGGGUCUCUGACCAUCCUCUCCAUGCUAUUGCUGAUAAAGCAAUGGAAAUUACCAUCUCUCCAUCUCUCACUCCAGGACAUAGAUGCAGCCGGGCCUUGCAAUUUUGCAGAUUACGCUCUAUCCAUAUGCAAGAUAAAUGAAAUCCAGUACAGCGGUAUUCAGCUGGUGGAGCUGUCCAGCAACCGGCACCCAGCCCGGAGAAAUCCCUGCCCCAGUAGAGGAGAAGAAGAGACUGAGGACGGAUCGAUGAAUGAAGGAAAGAGAGAGAGAGAGAGCUUCCAGACUGCGUGACCUACAUUCAACACUGUCUGGAGUCAAAAACAGAGUGAGAGGGAGAGGGAGAGAGAGAGAGAGAGAGAGAGCAAGAGAGCCAGCCCAAACAGAAAGCGGGAGGAUGAGACAGCAGGAAAGAAAGAUAUUUGUAUGGUGGAUCGCUUUGUCCGGCUGAUGCUGUUAUCAAGAACAGCAGCAGCGGCUCUGACUGUGCGUGAGCCUGUCUGAUGAGCUUGGCUUCGAAUCUAUCUGAUUGCCUCCGGAUGGAAAGCUGCCUCUCUGAAAGCAGUGUGGUUCUGAAUGCAGCUUUUAGAGACCAACUCUCUGAAACUUCAUUAGUAUCUCCAGAACACAACUUGCUGGGCUGCUCUGGAUCCCAGACUCGCUACCGGCCCUGUUUCGACAACGAAUCCAUGUACAAUCCAACAGGGAAGAGAGUCGGUCUAUCGAUCCAAAGAAUGGGAGGCAUCAAAAGAUCCUUAGGAGCAGGAGCUGAAAGGAGCAGCGAUGGCGAAGAAUCAGGAAGCAACCAAUUCGGAAGGAGACUACCAGACAUGAGAGGAAUACUUUUUCCAAUUGGACCAUGUGUAGAUCGGUCACCUCCACUGUUUACCGUGGGAAUAAAUAUCAGUACAAAUAGGGGAAGAACUCUGGUAUUCCAAUUGCAUGGCAUCACUUUGAUCCUCAUUUGAUCAGAUUAAAUGUCAAUGUAAA